rnacentral:tRNA from 1 species
AUUUUGGCCCUAGAAGCUAGGAUGGUGGUUGUAAACUACUAGUUGAAAUUUAUUUCCCAAAGUA